rnacentral:rRNA from 1 species
CAUAAGCCCACGGCUCGGCAUCGAGCAGAGGGAAAAGGAGCAAUCCGCUUUGAGAUGGCCUCGCGUCCGAUUAGCUAGUUGGUGAGGUAAUGGCCCACCAAGGCGACGAUCGGUAGCCGGACUGAGAGGUUGAACGGCCACAUUGGGACUGAGACACGGCCCAGACUCCUACGGGAGGCAGCAGUGGGGAAUAUUGCACAAUGGGGGAAACCCUGAUGCAGCGACGCCGCGUGGAGGAAGAAGGUCUUCGGAUUGUAAACUCCUGUUGUUGGGGAAGAUAAUGACGGUACCCAACAAGGAAGUGACGGCUAACUACGUGCCAGCAGCCGCGGUAAAACGUAGGUCACAAGCGUUGUCCGGAAUUACUGGGCGUAAAGGGAGCGCAGGCGGGAAGACAAGUUGGAAGUGAAAUCUAUGGGCUCAACCCAUAAACUGCUUUCAAAACUGUUUUUCUUGAGUAGUGCAGAGGUAGGCGGAAUUCCCGGUGUAGCGGUGGAAUGCGUAGAUAUCGGGAGGAACACCAGUGGCGAAGGCGGCCUACUGGGCACCAACUGACGCUGAGGCUCGAAAGUGUGGGUAGCAAACAGGAUUAGAUACCCUGGUAGUCCACACCGUAAACGAUAAUAAAAGGUGUUGGAGGAUUGACCCCUUCAGUGCCGCCGUUAACACAAUAAGUAAUCCACCCGGGGAGUACGACCCCAAGGUUGAAACUCAAAGGAAUUGACGGGGGCCCGCACAAGCAGUGGAGUAUGUGGUUUAAUUCGACGCAACGCGAAGAACCUUACCAAGUCUUGACAUCCCUCGACAGACAUAGAAAUAUGUUUUCUCUUCGGAGCAAGGAGACAGGUGGUGCAUGGUUGUCGUCAGCUCGUGUCGUGAGAUGUUGGGUUAAGUCCCGCAACGAGCGCAACCCUUAUGGUCAGUUACUACGCAAGAGGACUCUGGCCAGACUGCCGUUGACAAAACGGAGGAAGGUGGGGAUGACGUCAAAUCAUCAUGCCCUCUAUGACUUGGGCUACACACGUACUACAAUGGCGUUAAACAAAGAGAAGCAAGACCGCGAGGUGGAGCAAAACUCAGAAACAACGUCCCAGUUCGGACUGCAGGCUGCAACUCGCCUGCACGAAGUCGGAAUUGCU